AGAGUUUGAUCCUGGCUCAGGAUAAACGCUGGCGGCGUGCCUAACACAUGCAAGUCGAACGAUCCCGCAAGGGAGAGUGGCGGAAGGGUGAGUAACACGUAGGAAUCUACCCCGACGGAGGGAACAACCUAUCGAAAGAUGGGCUAAUACCCAAAAGGAUCCGUAAUGAUCAGAGUCGAAAGGCCUGUCGGGAUGAGCCUGCGGCGCAUCAGCUAGAUGGUGAGGUAAAAGCUUACCAUGGCUACGACGCGUAGGGGGUCUGAGAGGACGUCCCCCCACACUGGAACUGAAACACGGUCCAGACGCCUACGGGUGGCAGCAGUGAGGAAUAUUCGUCAAUGGGGGAAACCCUGAACGAGCAACGCCGCGUGAAGGAUGAAGGCCCUCGGGUUGUAAACUUCUUUUAAGGGAGAAGAGAAAGGACGGUAUCCCUUGAAUAAGUCACGGCUAACUACGUGCCAGCAGCCGCGGUAAUACGUAGGUGACGAGCGUUAUCCGGAUUUACUGGGCGUAAAGCGCUUGUAGGUGGUUGCGUAAGUUGGACGUUAAAUCUCUGGGCUCAACUCAGAGAGGCCGUUCAAUACUGCGUGGCUAGAGGAUGUCAGAGGAAGGUGGAAUUCCAGGUGUAGUAGUGAAAUGCGUAGAUAUCUGGAGGAACACCCAUGGCGAAGCAGCCUUCUGGGGCAUUCCUGACACUGAGAAGCGAAAGCUAGGGAGCAAACAGGAUUAGAAACCCUGGUAGUCCUAGCUGUAAACGAUGAAUGCUAGGUGUUGGCGGCUUUAACCCGUCUGUGCCGAAG
rnacentral:rRNA from 1 species